rnacentral:rRNA from 1 species
UGCCAGCAGCCGCGGUAAUACGGAGGGUGCAAGCGUUGUUCGGAAUCAUUGGGCGUAAAGCGGGUGUAGGCGGCUUGGCAAGUCGGUUGUGAAAUCCCUGGGCCUAACCCAGGAACUGCAGCCGAAACUGCCUCGCUAGAGUCUCGGAGAGGGUGGCGGAAUUCCCGGUGUAGAGGUGAAAUUCGUAGAUAUCGGGAGGAACACCAGUGGCGAAGGCGGCCACCUGGACGAUGACUGACGCUGAGACCCGAAAGUGUGGGGAGCAAACAGGAUUAGAUA